rnacentral:rRNA from 1 species
GAUGAACGCUGGCGGCGUGCCUAAUACAUGCAAGUCGAGCGAACGGACGAGAAGCUUGCUUCUCUGAUGUUAGCGGCGGACGGGUGAGUAACGCGUGGAUAACCUCCCUAUAAGACUGGGAUAACUUCGGGAAACCGGAGCUAAUACCGGAUAAUAUUUUGAACCGCAUGGUUCAAAAGUGAAAGACGGUCUUGCUGUCACUUAUAGCUGGAUCCGCGCUUCAUUAGCUAGUUGGUAAGGUAACGGCUUAUCAAGGCAACGAUGCAUAGCCGACCUGAGAGGGGGAUCGGCCACACUGGAACUGAGACACGGUCCAGACUCCUACGGGAGGGAGCAGUAGGGAAUCUUACGCAAUGGGCGAAAGCCUGACGGAGCAACGCCGCGUGAGUGAUGAAGGUCUUCGGAUCGUAAAACUCUGUUAUUAGGGAAGAACAUAUGUGUAAGUAACUGUGCACAUCUUGACGGUACCUAAUCAAAAAGCCACGGCUAACUACGUG